rnacentral:rRNA from 1 species
CCUACGGGCGGCAGCAGUGAGGAAUAUUGGUCAAUGGACGAGAGUCUGAACCGGCCAAGUAGCGUGAAGGAUGACUGCCCUAUGGGUUGUAAACUUCUUUUAUAUGGGAAUAAAAUGUUCCACGUGUGGGAUUUUGUAUGUACCAUAUGAAUAAGGAUAGGCUAAAUCAGUUCCAGCAGCCGAGGUAAUACGGAGGAUGCGAGGGUUAGCCGGAUUUAUUGGGUUUAAAGGGAGCGUAGGUGGAUUGUUAAGUCAGAUGUGAAAGUAUGCGGCUCAACCGUAGAAUUGCAGUUGAAACUGGCAGUCUUGAGUACAGUAGAGGUGGGCGGAAUUCGAGGUGUAGCGGUGAAAUGCGUAGAUAUCACGAAGAACACCGGUGGCGAAGGCAGCUCACUGGACUGCAACUGACGCUGAGGCUCGAAAGUGUGGGUAUCAAACAGGAUUAGAUACCCCAGUAGUC